GCGUGGCAGACGGGUGAGUAACACGUGGGUAACCUACCCGAAGGUGGGGGAUAACCCUUCGAAAGGAGGGCUAAUACCGCAUGAUGUGCCGAGGUCCUCGGAGCUCGGCACCAAAGCCUAGCCUCUGUUUACAAGCUAGCGCCAUCGGAGGGGCCCGCGCCCCAUUAGGUAGUUGGUGAGGUAACGGCUCACCAAGCCUUCGAUGGGUAGCCGGCCUGAGAGGGCGAUCGGCCACACUGGAACUGAGACACGGUCCAGACUCCUACGGGAGGCAGCAGUGAGGAAUCUUGCGCAAUGGGCGAAAGCCUGACGCAGCGACGCCGCGUGGAGGAUGAAGGUCUUCGGAUUGUAAACUCCUGUGAGGUGGGACGAAUGCCGCGAGGGUGAACAGCCUUCGCGGUUGACGGUACCAUCAGAGGAAGCCCCGGCUAACUCCGUGCCAGCAGCCGCGGUAAUACGGAGGGGGCCAGCGUUGUUCGGAAUCAUUGGGCGUAAAGGGCGCGUAGGCGGCCGUUCAAGUCGGACGUGAAAUCCCCCGGCUCAACUGGGGAACUGCAUCCGAUACUGUUCGGCUCGAGUCCUGGAGAGGGUAGUGGAAUUCCCAGUGUAGCGGUGAAAUGCGUAGAUACUGGGAGGAACAUCGGUGGCGAAGGCGGCUACCUGGACAGGUAC
rnacentral:rRNA from 1 species